CCAAUUGGAGAUGAUGAGCUGGUGGCAUUCAUUCUCAAUGGUUUGGAUGCUGAUUUUAAUCCAAUUGUUUCUGCAAUUAUAACUAGAGUUGAGCCUAUUUCUGUUGGAGAACUCUAUUCACAGCCAUUGAGCUUCGAGA
rfam:Setaria italica strain Yugu1 chromosome V, whole genome shotgun sequence.